rnacentral:rRNA from 1 species
GACGAACGCNGGCGGCGUGCCUAAUACAUGCAAGUCGAACGAGAGCGACCGGUGCUUGCACUGGUCAAUCUAGUGGCGAACGGGUGAGUAACACGUGGGUAGCCUGCCCAUCAGAGGGGGAUAACAUCCGGAAACGGAUGCUAAAACCGCAUAGGUCUUCGAACCGCAUGGUUUGAAGAGGAAAAGAGGCGCAAGCUUCUGCUGAUGGAUGGACCCGCGGUGCAUUAGCUAGUUGGUGAGGUAACGGCUCACCAAGGCCGUGAUGCAUAGCCGACCUGAGAGGGUGAUCGGCCACAUUGGGACUGAGACACGGCCCAAACUCCUACGGGAGGCAGCAGUAGGGAAUCUUCCGCAAUGGACGCAAGUCUGACGGAGCAACGCCGCGUGAGUGAAGAAGGUUUUCGGAUCGUAAAACU